GGUUAAGCGACUAAGCGUACACGGUGGAUGCCCUGGCAGUCAGAGGCGAUGAAGGACGUGCUAAUCUGCGAAAAGCGUCGGUAAGGUGAUAUGAACCGUUAUAGCCGGCGAUGUCCGAAUGGGGAAACCCAGUGCAAUUCGUUGCACUAUCGUUAACUGAAUACAUAGGUUAACGAGGCGAACCGGGGGAACUGAAACAUCUAAGUACCCCGAGGAAAAGAAAUCAACCGAGAUUCCCCCAGUAGCGGCGAGCGAACGGGGAGCAGCCCAGAGUCUGAAUCAGCUUGUGUGUUAGUGGAACGGUCUGGAAAGUCCGACGGUACAGGGUGAUAGUCCCGUACACCAAAAUGCACAGGCUGUGAACUCGAAGAGUAGGGCGGGACACGUGGUAUCCUGUCUGAAUAUGGGGGGACCAUCCUCCAAGGCUAAAUACUCCUGACUGACCGAUAGUGAACCAGUACCGUGAGGGAAAGGCGAAAAGAACCCCGGCGAGGGGAGUGAAAAAGAACCUGAAACCGUGUACGUACAAGCAGUGGGAGCACCUUCGGGUGUGACUGCGUACCUUUUGUAUAAUGGGUCAGCGACUUAUAUUCUGUAGCAAGGUUAACCGUAUAGGGGAGCCGCAGGGAAACCGAGUCUUAACUGGGCGUUAAGUUGCAGGGUAUAGACCCGAAACCCGGUGAUCUAGCCAUGGGCAGGUUGAAGGUUGGGUAACACUAACUGGAGGACCGAACCGACUAAUGUUGAAAAAUUAGCGGAUGACUUGUGGCUGGGGGUGAAAGGCCAAUCAAACCGGGAGAUAGCUGGUUCUCCCCGAAAGCUAUUUAGGUAGCGCCUCGUGAAUUCAUCUUCGGGGGUAGAGCACUGUUUCGGCUAGGGGGUCAUCCCGACUUACCAACCCGAUGCAAACUACGAAUACCGAAGAAUGUUAUCACGGGAGACACACGGCGGGUGCUAACGUCCGUCGUGAAGAGGGAAACAACCCAGACCGCCAGCUAAGGUCCCAAAGUCAUGGUUAAGUGGGAAACGAUGUGGGAAGGCACAGACAGCCAGGAUGUUGGCUUAGAAGCAGCCAUCAUUUAAAGAAAGCGUAAUAGCUCACUGGUCGAGUCGGCCUGCGCGGAAGAUGUAACGGGGCUAAACCAUGCACCGAAGCUGCGGCAGCGACACUAUGUGUUGUUGGGUAGGGGAGCGUUCUGUAAGCCUGCGAAGGUGUGCUGUGAGGCAUGCUGGAGGUAUCAGAAGUGCGAAUGCUGACAUAAGUAACGAUAAAGCGGGUGAAAAGCCCGCUCGCCGGAAGACCAAGGGUUCCUGUCCAACGUUAAUCGGGGCAGGGUGAGUCGACCCCUAAGGCGAGGCCGAAAGGCGUAGUCGAUGGGAAACAGGUUAAUAUUCCUGUACUUGGUGUUACUGCGAAGGGGGGACGGAGAAGGCUAUGUUAGCCGGGCGACGGUUGUCCCGGUUUAAGCAUGUAGGCUGAUUGUCCAGGCAAAUCCGGAUAAUCAAGGCUGAGGUGUGAUGACGAGGCACUACGGUGCUGAAGUAACAAAUGCCCUGCUUCCAGGAAAAGCCUCUAAGCAUCAGGUAACAUCAAAUCGUACCCCAAACCGACACAGGUGGUCAGGUAGAGAAUACCAAGGCGCUUGAGAGAACUCGGGUGAAGGAACUAGGCAAAAUGGUGCCGUAACUUCGGGAGAAGGCACGCUGGUGUGUAGGUGAAGUCCCUGCGGAUGGAGCUGAGACCAGUCGAAGAUACCAGCUGGCUGCAACUGUUUAUUAAAAACACAGCACUGUGCAAACACGAAAGUGGACGUAUACGGUGUGACGCCUGCCCGGUGCCGGAAGGUUAAUUGAUGGGGUUAUCCGUAAGGAGAAGCUCUUGAUCGAAGCCCCGGUAAACGGCGGCCGUAACUAUAACGGUCCUAAGGUAGCGAAAUUCCUUGUCGGGUAAGUUCCGACCUGCACGAAUGGCGUAAUGAUGGCCAGGCUGUCUCCACCCGAGACUCAGUGAAAUUGAACUCGCUGUGAAGAUGCAGUGUACCCGCGGCAAGACGGAAAGACCCCGUGAACCUUUACUAUAGCUUGACACUGAACAUUGAGCCUUGAUGUGUAGGAUAGGUGGGAGGCUUUGAAGCGUGGACGCCAGUCUGCGUGGAGCCAACCUUGAAAUACCACCCUUUAAUGUUUGAUGUUCUAACGUUGGCCCCUUACCGGGGUUGCGGACAGUGUCUGGUGGGUAGUUUGACUGGGGCGGUCUCCUCCCAAAGCGUAACGGAGGAGCACGAAGGUUAGCUAAUCCUGGUCGGACAUCAGGAGGUUAGUGCAAUGGCAUAAGCUAGCUUGACUGCGAGCGUGACGGCGCGAGCAGGUGCGAAAGCAGGUCAUAGUGAUCCGGUGGUUCUGAAUGGAAGGGCCAUCGCUCAACGGAUAAAAGGUACUCCGGGGAUAACAGGCUGAUACCGCCCAAGAGUUCAUAUCGACGGCGGUGUUUGGCACCUCGAUGUCGGCUCAUCACAUCCUGGGGCUGAAGUAGGUCCCAAGGGUAUGGCUGUUCGCCAUUUAAAGUGGUACGCGAGCUGGGUUUAGAACGUCGUGAGACAGUUCGGUCCCUAUCUGCCGUGGGCGCUGGAGAAUUGAGGGGGGCUGCUCCUAGUACGAGAGGACCGGAGUGGACGCAUCACUGGUGUUCGGGUUGUCAUGCCAAUGGCACUGCCCGGUAGCUAAAUGCGGAAGAGAUAAGUGCUGAAAGCAUCUAAGCACGAAACUUGCCCCGAGAUGAGUUCUCCCUGAGACUUUAAGUCUCCUGAAGGAACGUUAAAGACGAUGACGUUGAUAGGCCGGGUGUGUAAGCGCAGCGAUGCGUUGAGCUAACCGGUACUAAUGAACCGUGAGGCUUAACCUU
rnacentral:rRNA from 1 species